UCAUCUUCCUCUCUCUUGUAAUUUAUUUGUAACACAUGAAUUUAAAUAGAUUACAACAGUGGUGAAUUCAUAUCACUUUCAAAAGUUAUCUUCCUUUUUGAAAGUUAAUAUUUUAGCCAGUAAUUAAACAUAAUUAGUGACUUUGUGAUCAGAUGUUCAUUUUCUUCCACUUAGCCAACGGGCGGCAUGUGGUGAAUUAAAAUAGCAGGUGGAAUUUUAGAACAGGUGACAGGUUCCUGAGCACCCACGAAGGUUAGAUUCAGAUGAUGGGCGCAGCUUUUCUUUAGUAUAGCAGAAACCUUGGGAUGCCUGGGAUGAAGACAAGGGAGAGCAGAGUAGGCAGAGAGCAACUGCCACCGUAAAGCCUGGACAAGUCUCAGAGCGAUAAAUCUGUUCAUUUAGGGCCCAACAUGAGUUUUUCUUUCUGAGAAGUAUAGCCCAAGUUAUGCAAAUCUGUUAGAUAUGAAAUCGCUCUUACAAAACAGCAUUUGGAUGAGUCCCAAGUAAACAAAUCAGACCCACGCAGAUCAAAUUUUCAUUAAAAUGCAUGAUUUUAAGAAUGGGGUGGGGGAAGGAAGCUGAGAAAUCAAAGGUGACUUUAACUACAUCUUAAAUUCAGUUUUUGCCCCAAGUCUAUGUUCUAUACAGCUUUCUGUUUUUCUUUUUAAAACGCCGAUCCCACCAAAUAAGCUAAUUGCGCUGAUGACAGCACAUUUGGUAAACGGUGGCCUACAGACCUCAGACGGCUCCUCUCUGCCUUAGUUCAGAUUUCUGUGAGCACCACAAGGCUGAAGGGAUCCUCUAAUUAUGGGUGGGAUUAGUGCUCAAUAGCCGAUGUGUUGCUCUUCGUGGCUUGCAGCCCUCGUGGUUUCUCUGCUCCUUAUGGUCACUGUGGCCACCUAGAAAUUCUUUUCAGGAGCAUAAUAACCGGAUCAGCUGCUGCAGGCUGGAGCCCGGCGGAACAAAGGGAGGCGGAGGGUGCUCCCACCGGCCUCUGCCUGCUCACAGAUCCCAGCGGGCACCCCCGGGGUCACAGCAGACAAAACCAGAGUCCAGCCCCAUUUGAUAGGGCUCCAUCCCACACGACCCACUGCCCCUACUUAAGGUCUGGGGGAUAGGCUCCAACAGCGUGCACUAUUUGCCAACAAAAGUACUAGCAGUGGAAAGAAAUACACACCCAGGCACUACAACACACAGGAAGACUCCUCUUGUUCAGUUUUCCCUUUCAGCUAUUACUCCCUGGAAAUCUUGAAGAUAGCUGUGAGAAGUUUAUUACUAAGCAUCAGUUUUUAAUAUUAAUCUUGUACCAGGAUCAUUUUAAUAAUCAUUAACGAGGAAACAGGAGGUGGUGGGCAUUUAUUUUAUUGUCAAGUGAGGCAGUUUCUUGUUCUGUUCAUCAUUCUUGAAGCUUCUCUUGCACCACCCGUUCCCUGAUGCCACAGUGUGGAGAGGUUUUCCCUAAGCAGCAUCUGGUCCCCUUGGAGGAUUCCACAGGCUUUUUGUCUCUUUCAGGUUUUCAAUAGUGGCCUCUGGGGGCGCCGGGGGGAGGAACCAUCUGGCCAGGCGUCACCUGGCCAGUUGGGCCUGCCUGGCCUCACGCUGCUCAGCAUUCCUCUGCAUCAAAUGGCUCAGUGCCUGCCGGGGACCUGGUCAAGUGCUGGACAAUGGGCCACAGAGCUUAGCACUGAGCCAAGAAUGUAGUGUUAAUAAGAACACUUUUUAUUCACAAUAAGGACAGAUAAUAUAGUUUGAGAAUGUGGGAUACUAAGCAACAAAAUUGGGUUUCAAUGUUGAUUCAUUUAUCUCCUAGCUGCGUGGCCUUAGGUGACUUACUUCAGAGUUGUGCUUCUGCAAAAGAAGAAAAAUAAUAACAACUGGAUUGUUGUGAGGUAUUAAUGAGACUACCCAGAUAUAAAGGUAUCACUUCUAUCAGGCAGGAAAGAAAGGGGACAUUUUAAUGGGUGAAUCAAGGAUUGUUUAGUAACAGGACUUUUUACAAAGGUGCAGGUGUGGUUUAAGAAAAGCAAGAGGGGAUUGUGUAGUAUCCCAGGGCUCUCGACAUCCCAGAGUGGUUAGCGUGCCAGGGCAGAAGGGGCAACAUCAGAGAGCAGUUACUGGAAACCAGAUAUGGAGUUGCAGGGGGAAGGACACCCUGACACAAGCUGUGGGCUUCCUCAGGGUGCAGCUAAAGCAGGGUAAGAGGAGAGGUGGGGCGGGGGAGAGCAAUACUCUGAGAACCCAUCCCAGCAGACAAGCAUGUUUGGCCCAUGUGCACAGCAAAUGCAUCAGAAAGCUGAUGUACCUGAAACCCAUAACUCAUACACGUUAGUGAAGAAAUGAAGAAAUAGCAGCUUCCUCACCCUGCACCAUCUCCCUGAGUUCCAGCAGGAUCCUCAACAGUUGCCCACAAUGAGAACUUGCUUGAUUACACACUCAUUAUUGGAUUUAGUCCCUUCCCUGUCUCACUUUGCUGCUUCUCUGUUGGUGCCUCCUGGGAUUAUCCCCGAAGUAAAUCAUACACACUACAGUCCUUAUCACAGGGCCUGCUUCUGGGAGAACCUACUGAAGACAAAACCCGCCGGCAUAGUCCAUGUGGGUCAGCCUCCCAUGGCAGAGAACAAGUGAAGAGAGGGUGCCUGGUCUGCUUCACACACUUCAGCUAGUAGUGUAAGCCUGGCAAUAACAAUUGUACAGUCGUUUCUUGAUUGUGUUCCUCUUUCACAACACUGCACAGUCAGCCACCCCAUUCCCUGAGGUUGACUUCUUGUGUUUAACUUUUUGACUUACUGGUAUCUACUGGGCCUUGGCACAGCAUUAUAUAUAUGUGUAGCAUUAUAUAUAUGUGUGUGUGGCUUCUGUAAGGAAUAGAUAGGAACCCAUUCUAGGUAAGAUGUGGGGUGAGUGGGGGGUAGGAAAUGGUAGAGUUGUAAAAAAGUAAAAUAUUAAUAAAAGUUGGAUGGCGUGUCUAAUAGAAAACAAAACCUUAGAACUUGAAUGAACACAUGUACAUUUCAAACCAUCAGUUAACAAUUGAGAGAGGGCUGGGAGGGUGAGGUCAAGAGAAAAAGGAAGCCUACUAAGCCUCCCUUAAAUUAAAAUAUAUAGGCAGUAAAUCCUCCCACCAAUACAAGAGGCCAGAUCUGCUGUAAAAACUAGAACCAGGUAUCCACAUGAAGUGAAAUCAAACCUGAUUUAUUGUAGCACAUCUGAACACUUCAGGUCCCAGUAAAAUCUCAGCAUAUUGUAUUAGAGUUAAAACGGAUUAGUAAAGGAUGAGAAGGGCUUCAAUAAAUUAUUUAUUAGAACACUAGUAACUUGAGGGCCUAUAAUGGGGACUGGCAUGUAGUUGGUACUUAGUAAAUAUUUAAUGUAUGGAUUGAUAGAUAGAUGAUUGGUUGAAUAGACAGGUUAGGAUAGCAGUAUAAAACCAAAAGGAACUUAACCGUACUCAUCCAUAAUCUUCUUUGUCCAAAACAAUCUUAACACUUUUCUCAUAGUGUGUGUGUGUGUAAGAUAUAUAUAUAUGCACAUACAUAGACACACACGUAUAUUACAUAAUAUUAAUAUAAAGUUGUUCCAUUGGCCAGAGCAAGCCACAUGGAUAAGCCCAGUGUUAAUGUAGGAGGGUGCAACAGAGUAUUUUACAAGGAAGCAUUCAUCGAUUAAAGCCAUGAUUACACCAAGAGAGGAGUCCCUCCUUUCUCCUGUGCAGUGAAGACUUCUGAGGCCUGAACCUACCACCUCAGGGUUCUUCACCUCCUGAAAGGCAGGAUGAGUUUCAUCCUGAAGGAGGUCUGGAUGGAGUGUCCAAAUGAUAAGUGAAUUUCUGGAAAACUAACCCAUACCUCCUGAAAUAGAAUUUCCAAGAAAGAGCCUCAAAAUCUCUAUUUUAAUUAAGCAUAGACAGGUGAGGGAGCAGGUACGUAUGCUUCUACAGGUUUCCAUUUCAAUACGGGAAUUAGGCCCAGUGAUUUUGAGGCUGAUUACAAGUGUCCCUUAUCUGUGUGAUCACUUAGUGUUGUUAACUGGCAUGUCUUUUACAGGAACAUCAAAGACCCUGAGAAGCCAAAAGUUAUGAAAUGCAUCAGCAGUGGGUUGAAGACAAGACCUCUCCUUUUCCUGCUGACAUUUCUUCCAUGAGCAGUACCCAGACAGCCGACAGAAAGAGCCCAGGAGGUAACUGGGGACAUGAGAUGAAAACUCAAGAUGCAAGGGUAUCCCAUCUUUUGGCUUCCUUGGGCCACAUUGGAAGAAGAAGAAUUAUCUUGGGCCAUGCAGGAAAUACACUAACAAUAACUGAUGAGCUAAAAAAAAUCACCAAAAAAUCUGAUAAUGUUUUAAGAAAGUUUACAAAUUUGUGUUAGGCCACAUUCAAAGCAAUCCUGGGCUGCCUGUGGCCUAUGGGCCACGGGCUGGACACGCUUGCAAGGGAGAGGACAGAUAAAGAUACGUAUGAGAGCAUCCUCCUUAGAGAAAGGUCAGUGUUGAAGUCAUAGGGUAAGGGAACUCUUUCAAAAGAAAGUAAAAAAAAAAAAAAAAGAUAGCGAAGUAAAUCAUGUGAAGUCUCUACAGAGUAAGGGCCAAAGGGAGGACACAGUAGCUUAAAAUCACAAUAUUGUUUUUGUUCCUAUUUUUGUUUUUCUCAUAAAGCUACAGGUCAGCUGGACAGCUCGCUCUUGGGUCCUCACAAAGCUACUGGUCAGCUGGGCAGCUCAGCUGGGUCCUCAUCAAUGAACCAGGGUUGGCUGAUUUUAGCUGGGCUCACUCAAUUUUCUAGAGUCCACUGGUCUGUCUGCUGCAGUGUGGCUGAUCUAGGACAGCCCUGGCCUUGGUGACCUGGCUCUGCUGCACGAUGCAGCCAUCCUCUAGCAGGCUAGCCUAUCACAGCAAAACAGAAGCACAAAAGAGAGAUCAGGAAAACGCAUAGCUUCUUAAGGCCUAGGCCCUAAACUGGUGCAUCACUUACUUCUUGGCAACAUUCUGGUGGCCAAAGGAAGUCACAUGUCCAACCCCAGACUCUAAAGGAGGGAAAAGAGACCCGAUGCCUUAAUGGGAGUAAAGUCACAUUGCAAAAGGCAAGGAUCCCAAAAAUGUUUCAAAAAAAAUUGGAGGCCAUCUUUGCAAUCAAAGUUAGAUUAUUCUCAAUGGUAAAAGUUGGAACCACAAUAUUAUUGUUACCUUCAAAGAGUACACCUAGCUGAAUCCCCCAGUCAAUGCAGGAAUUCCCCCAAAUUAAACACACACACACACACACACACAUACACAUAAACCCUCAAAGAUUCCCACAACUUGACCAUUUGACCUAGCUUUUCUCACUGGGUAAAAAAAGCAAGAGGGAAAAAAAAACCACUGCAGCUCUCUCCCACCCCUGCUGUUCAGCCUUCAGUUUAUCUGGCCUCUGCUAUGAGUCACAGCUGACUGAAGGGUGGGGGUGGGUUGUGAGUCAUGGCCUAAAACAAAGAUAGAAUUUGAUGGGGGUGGACGAGCAGGCGAGAGAGAAGACACGGCAAGUUCAGGCAUUCUCUCAGUGUUUAGGGUGAUGUCUUCUUUCCUGCAGCUGGGGAAGUUGGGCAGAGUGCCCCCGAAGGAGGAGAUUCCACACAGGCCCUGUGUAUCUGAGAGUUGAGUUGCUGAUUUCAGAGGUGUUUGUAUCAUUGCUCUAAAUGUGUUUCUGCUCCCCUCCCACCCAAGAUGCUGGUUCAACGGACCAUUUCAUCCUACCAUUAUACAGAACCCACAGGAGCUAGUUACCUGGUCAGUUUGAGAAGUUAAUAUUUAAAAAGACUAAUGGUUGCAUAUGGCUUCCACAGGAAAGAAAUAAUAAGCUAAUGUUAUCUAUUGACUCAAUCCCACAUAUAUUUACAUUUGACAACUUAAAAAAAAAACCUUCGGCUCAAUGAUAGUUUAGCUCAAGUCACUAUGUUAGGAUAUAUAUUUCUUUCAUCUAUGACUAUUUUUGUCUGCACAGUAACCUGCCUCAAGCACACAAAUAUUUGUGUGUCUGGCCUCAAGCAAUUAACGUGUCUCCUAACAUGAGAUAAAGAUUAAAUGAAAAUUCUGUCACCCUGAAAUAAACCUGGAAGCAGAAUUCCUGAAUGUUUGCCAAAUAAGGUGACUAUCAGACUUAAGAUGCUGAACUUUGAAAUGACUGUCAUAGAAACAAAGGCAAGGCAUGGUUGGCGCCCAUUCAACCUGGUCAAUAACAUCCUUAAUUACAGGACAUGGCAUCAUUUUGAUUCACAGUGGAAUAAAAGGCAUCUAUUUGUAUAUUUGGAAGUCUGAAUGAGGAUUUCCUGAUGAAGUCAUUUCUGUCUUACAACAGCUUCGCUUGUACCAGUAGAGUUAAAACUGGGUCACCAUUUUUAUGCGAGCGUAUGGAUACACAUACAUCCACACUCGAACCCCAAACACACACACACACACACACACACACUUCAUUUCAGAGUCUAAUUAAAACUCUAUUAUACAUAAUUUUCUUCCAGAUCAAUGGUGGUGUUGGAUCAAAAUUGUAGCUCACAAGGAAAAUCCUGUAAAGGAACCAUAUUUUUCUGUGUUGCCUGCCAAAAUGAGAACAUCAUUUGUUAAAUAAUGUGGGACACAGGUGCCCCGGAUGUACUAUUUAAUGGAGAAAGAAAAAGAGAGAAACAAUGGCUGCCAGUAUCCGGGAAAAAUGCGACUAGCUUCUUAAGCUUCUUCACCCAGAAAUUGUUACAAAUAGAAGGGAAUCUGACUUUGAGCUAUGAGUUGUUGCUUCCCCAUGACUGAAUUCCCCAAGAACUGAGUUAUUACUGACCUGUGAUUUGCUCAUCAUAAGGUCUCACUGUUAAUUACUGCUCUCUGCUCCGCAGAAACUUUGAAUUCCACCAAAGGGUGUGCCGAAGGCUUAGAUGUUGAGAAGCGUGAAUUCAUCCUGCACAACAAAUAUCAUAGAGAUGGGACUGGAGCGGGGGACAAGAAGGGGGAGAAUGAACAAGAUGCAUGUUGCAAAACCCCAAGGGGUGCUAUUUGUAUGGUAGCCUGAGUGAACAGCAAUUUCCCUGAGGGGUGGUUGCAGCAGAUACUGUGGGUACCAUCUCUACAUCUCUUACUCCUUACUCGUUCCUGCCUUACUCCUUCAGGGCAGAGCAGCCCAACUUACUCUUUGCCUAAGGACAGUCUCUGGUAUCUAAGUCUAGGUUAGCCACUCAUGGCAGGCCAGAUGAAUGAUUGCUAGGAGUCUUGCAUAUACACCCGGUUUCCUUGCCACUUGGAUAGGAUAAAGGUGCUUCACCCCAUUUUCCAGCAGUCUCCAGCAAGUCUAGGUUCCACUUGCUCACAGCAGUAGCUGAUUUUGUGAAACAUCCUUUCUGGGCUGCCUUCCUUUCUCUCUCUCCCUUUCCCUCUCCCAUCUCUGAUUUUCUUCUACUUCCCCCAAUAUAUUAAUAUUAUCUCAGGGAUGGCUUUUGGGAACCCCAAUCAAAGAAAGGAGCAAACUCAAUUAAGACCCUCUGUUUUAGGUAACUUUGGGAACCUGGUGGAGCAUCCUGACAUUACAUCCUGAACCAGAGUAUGUCUCAAGAUAUUUUUGGAUCCUGCUUUUGUGGAGACAGAAUCCACAACACAGCAGAGAGUUCCUCACUCCAAGAGGUACAUUCUUCUUACUGUCUGGUUCACUCCCUAGACACAUGCCAGCUUGACCAUCAUACAGAGCAGCCCCCAGGAUGAAGGCAAACUUCUAUCUGGAGUCUGAUCUUUCCAAGAUAGGGCUGAAUCAACUUAGCUCUUUUUUCUUGUGGCUCAUUGCUGCUUUCCAGAUUGAGAAUAGCCUCAGAUUUCUUUCUGGCUUCCAUAUACCAUGCAUCCUAUUGCUUUGCUUAUACUCUUACCCCCCAAUGUCAAAAUAGUCCUGAAGUGUAUACCAGAUCAUGUCACACAUAUGCAGAACUGAUCAUGUCAGUUCAACCUUGGCUCCAAGAAUAAAGCUGUAAGUCCUAUAACCACAAGGCCUUAGGGUGACUUGAUUCCUGAAGGCUACUCCAAUAUCAUUUCUUCUCAUUUUCCUCAUCACACCUUGCCUUUCUUUGAACGUGGUGACAUAUUCCUGCUGCAGAAUUUUGCAUUGGCUGUUUCCUCUAUCUGGUGCACUCUUUUUAUUGAAGGUGCACUCUUACCUAACCUAACUCAUGCUUUUGUGCAAAUGUCACCAUCUCAGACAGGCCUUUGCUAACCAUCCCAGCACCCCUUUAAUUUAUUAUUGCUUACUUUAAUUGUUUCUCUUUAUAGCUGUCAGCACCAACUGACAUUAUAUGUACUCGUUUGGCUGGUUUUUGUUAGUCUUUCCAUGACAAUGUAAGCGCCACUGGCUCAUCACUAACAUCAUGUGCCUGGCACACAGAAAGUACUCAAUUAAUAUUUAUAUGGUUGCUGAAUUAAUAUAUGGUGUUACCUUUAAAGAGAAGCGAAGUAAUCUGUAAAUGCUUUUACUAAAAUAAUCAUUUACCUGCAGACUAGGUAUUUUAAAAUAUAGUCUAUUUCCUGUUAUAGAUUGAUUUAUUUUUAAAGUAUUGUCUCCUUACUCUUUAAAGAUACAUUUUCCCUGUUUUCCAAAUUAGUUAUUUUUUCUUUUUGAUUAUUCAUUCCCAAGUUAGGAGAAUGUCUAAAACUUGAGAUGUACUGACUGACAAAUUAACUAACAAAGAACAGAAAUAUAUACCUCAAAUUGCACUGCUAUCAUCUAUGAUCAUUUAUUUAUUCAGCAGAUAUUAAUUGAGCGUUUACUAUAUCUCAGACACCGCUGUACAUAUUCAGAGAAUACAACAGCCAAAGAUUUCUCACCUCAAAGAACUUAUACAGAAAAGACACGCAAUAAAAUGUAAACAUGAUAAAUGAAUUAUUUUAUUUUAUUUUAUUUUAUUUUUGAGACAGAGUUUUGCACUUGUUGCCCAGGCUGGAGUGCAAUGGCGUGAUCUCGGCUCACCGCAACCUCUGCCUCCCGGGUUCAAGCGAUUCUCCUGCCUCAGCCUCCCAAGUAGCUGGGAUCAUAGGCAUGCGCCACUAUGCCCAGUUAAUUUUUUGUAUUUUUAGUAGAGAUGGGGUUUCACCAUGUUGGCCAGGUUGGUCUGAAACACCCGACCUCAGGUCAUCAGCCCACCUCGGCCUCCCAAAGUGCUGGGAUUACAGGCGGGAGCCACUGCACCUGACUGAUAAAUGAAUUAUUUAAUGUGUUUGAAGGAUACACUAGGGUGGUCAGGGGAGGCUUCACUAAGUUGACUUCUGGGCAGAGCUUGAAUUAGUGAGUGUGAAUGUGAAGCCAUGUGCAUACAUGUGGGAGGAGCACUCUAGACAAAGAGCAAGGCCAAGGCAGAGGUUCUGAGGUGGGAGCAUGCCAAGCUUGUUAUAGAGGGCAAGCUGCAGGCUGCUGAGCAAGGAGGAAGAGGGGUAGGAGAUGAAACCAAAGAAGAAUCAGGAAAGCAGGCCAUGUAGGCCCCUGGAAGCAUUAAAAGGACCUUGAUUUUCACAUAUGCCAAUAAUUGUUAAAAGGCAAUAAUAAUAGCUGUUGCCACCACAUUCGACUACAUAGUAUUCCCUGCUUGUUCCAUAUAAAGUUACUCCAUGUAAAUACAGACCCUGUGAUCACUCUUGUUGAUAAUGAUUUUAUUGUAUUAUUGUUUCUCUAUAAGGUGACUGCUGUUACAUUUUUCUUAAUUACACAGCAGUGAAACACUUCAUUGAUAAUAAAUACAAAGGAGAAAAAAUAAUUUAUAAAAUAAAAAUAGAGGUUUAAUAAAU
rnacentral:lncRNA from 10 species